UCCUACGGGGGGCAGCAGUGGGGAAUAUUGGGCAAUGGGCGCAAGCCUGACCCAGCAACGCCGCGUGAAGGAAGAAGGCUUUCGGGUUGUAAACUUCUUUUCUCAGGGACGAAGAAAGUGACGGUACCUGAGGAAUAAGCCACGGCUAACUACGUGCCAGCAGCCGCGGUAAUACGUAGGGGGCAAGCGUUAUCCGGAUUUACUGGGUGUAAAGGGAGCGUAGGCGGUUUAGCAAGUCAGAGGUGAAAGCCCGGGGCUCAACUCCGGGACUGCUUUUGAAACUGUUGAACUAGAUUGCAGGAGAG
rnacentral:rRNA from 1 species